UACGUAGGUGGCAAGCGUUGUCCGGAAUUAUUGGGCGUAAAGCGCGCGCAGGUGGUUCUUUAAGUCUGAUGUGAAAGCCCACGGCUCAACCGUGGAGGGUCAUUGGAAACUGGGGAACUUGAGUGCAGAAGAGGAUAGUGGAAUUCCAAGUGUAGCGGUGAAAUGCGUAGAGAUUUGGAGGAACACCAGUGGCGAAGGCGGCUACCUGGACAGAUACUGACGCUGAGGCGCGAGAGCGUGGGGAGCAAACAGG
rnacentral:rRNA from 1 species